CAGUGGUUCUGAUCUCAGAACCUCUUUAGGUGUGGGAGGUUUUUCCUUUGGUUCUGUUCUUCAGUCUCUAACAGCAGAACCGGGUCAUUGUCUGGUUCUGCUGGUUCUCAUCCAAACAGCCACGUUCUCGUCUCCUUGGUGUUGGUCAGUGAACAGACUGCUGGGAAAUCUUCUCCAUCAUCACCUCUCUGAUCGUGACCUUUGACCUCUCUAGUCUCAUCGUUGUUCUCACAGCCAAACAUGUUGUGGAAGAUGUGAGCAGCUGAGAACGUCUGCAGGAACAUCUCAGCACAAACUUGAUAAGACUGAAGGUCACAUGUUCCUCACAGCCAAUCAGAGGAUGGAAAUGUGUUUCUAUGGCAACAUGUGGAGACUUUAGAGACAGCCGUCAAGAGUCAGAUCCUAACAGUCCAUCUCCUCUCUCCAUCACAGAGCUUCUCUGCCUCCACUAACACUCAGCUUAUUGACCCUGAUGAAGAUGAUGGAGGUCCAUGUGAGCUGCAGGAGCAGAACCACCCUGAUGAAGACUCCUGACCAGCAGACUCAGACCAGACCUGAUCCUUCCUUUAACAUCACAACAACUGAAACUACACAGAAACAUCAUCAGUUCAGGAACUUCCUCUUCCUGUGAGGCUCUACAGACUUUAACCUCCAGAAGGUUUUCUAGAAGCUUCCACUGAAGGAGAGUUUAGGUCCAGGGUUUGAUCACUGCAGGAACAUCAGCACAGAAACAGGUUUUAUUUCACUUUAAUGUUCCAGCUGAGAUGAAUCUCCUCUCUGGUUCUUUCUGAAGGAUCAUCAUUGCUGCUCCUCUCCUCUGAUGAUCUCACAGCUCUGCUCUCUCUGCAGCUUUAAGGCCAACAGAUCCCAGAAUAACCUUCAAAGUUAAAGAUCCUGCAGCUCUUCUGACAACAGAACCAGAACACAAACUGAAACCAACACAAACUCCAUCUGGACUGACUGG